UCCAACUACUAGCAGCACUUCCUCUUCUUCUUUCUGCACCACCACCAAAUCGACGAUAAUAUCCUAACCCUCCGUCUCCUUUUUCCCCAUCACCAACAACAACACCUCCUCCUUUUACUCAACGAAUAUAAAAUACAGAUUGAGUAUGCGAAUUAGGGAAAAGAAGGAAUUGAUCAUCGAGGAGGACGAAUUGUUGAAAGGCUUGAUGAAUGAACAGGGUGAGGAAGAAUAUAUUGCAGUUGUUCAUGCACUUGUGGAACUCAAUGAUUUUAAAUGCAGUUGCGUCUUAGAACGAAGUUAGUGCAAGGAUAUUGCUUCAAAAAUAAUGUUAUUUUCACAGCAGGGCCCAAGAGCUGUCUGCAUUCUCUCAGCUAACGGGGUUGUGUCCACAGUGACACUUCAGCAGCCUGCAUCUUCUGGUGGCUCAGUCACAUAUGAGGUUUGCUUUUAACAGAACCAAAGUUUUUUUUUUGUACUCUGGAUUCAAUAUAG